rnacentral:rRNA from 1 species
GGAAUUUUCCGCAAUGGGCGAAAGCCUGACGGAGCAACGCCGCGUGAGGGAUGAAGGCCUCUGGGCUGUAAACCUCUUUUAUCAAGGAAGAAGAUCUGACGGUACUUGAUGAAUAAGCCACGGCUAAUUCCGUGCCAGCAGCCGCGGUAAUACGGGAGUGGCAAGCGUUAUCCGGAAUUAUUGGGCGUAAAGCGUCCGCAGGCGGUCUGUCAAGUCUGCUGUUAAAGCGUGGAGCUUAACUCCAUUUCGGCAGUGGAAACUGACAGACUAGAGUGUGGUAGGGGCAGAGGGAAUUCCCGGUGUAGCGGUGAAAUGCGUAGGUAUCGGGAAGAACACCAGUGGCGAAGGCGCUCUGCUGGGCCAUAACUGACGCUCAUGGACGAAAGCCAGGGGAGCGAAAGGGAUUAGAUACCCCUGUAGUC